rnacentral:lncRNA from 10 species
UAUUGAUGCGAUUACAAUGCUUUAGAGUUUUCCCAUAUUUGGCAUUUAUAACAUUGACUUUCUCGGCCAGCCACGGUGGCUCACGCCUGUAAUCCCAUCACUUUGGGAGGCUGAGGCAGGUGGAUCUCCUGAGGUCAGAAGUUCGAAACCAGCCUGGCCAACAUGGCAAAACCCCAUCUCUACAAAAAAUGCAAAAAUUAGCCGAGUGUGGUUGCAGGUGCCUAUAGUCCCAGCUACUCGGGAGGCUGAGGCAGGAGAAUGGCAUGAACCCGGGAGGCGGAGGUUGCGGUGAGCCGAGAUCGAGCUACUGCACUCCAGCCUGGGCAACGGAGUGAGACUCUGUCUCAAAAAUAAAAGAAUAUUGACUCUCUCAUU